CGGGUUUAAGGGAGUGGAAUAAUGAGUGGAACUGCCAGUUUCAAUGAGUAAGGUAUUUAGAGGAAAAAGGCUGCCGCAGGAUCUCUUUUAUGAUACCAAUAGGCACGUGAUUGGGAAGACAUAAAACGGGAUUUAACUGAUUUCAUAGCGUGUUGGAUAUUAUCCAGUAUGAAUCGUUAGCCCCAUAACAAGAAGAAAUGUUGGUCUUCAGAGUGGCACAAAAAGAAAAUAUGUGUUUCAUAAGCCUGACAGCGAAAGUUUCCCCAUUUCCCUUCUAACAGAAAGCAUUUGUCUGUUUAGAUUCUUUUCAACAAACACUCCUAAUACAAAUGACAAAACCAAGGGAUGCAGAGAGAAAAUUUCUAGACACCGUAGAUGACUGUUUCUUGAAGCAGCUUGUCCUGGAACCCACAAGGGAAGAGGCAAGUCUUCCUAAAUGCAGCACAGUAUGAAUCAAAGAGACAUUGACAGUUACUUUUUGAGCAAUAACAUUUGAAAAUGUAUCAGUGGAAAAGGACAAAAAUGAUACUGAAGAGGAUACACACCUUGAAAAUGCUUUGCUAAUGGAUGAUUUCUAAAUCAUUUCCAUAGUCACCAAAACUUGUACCUAUAAAUGGUCUGAGAUAUAAAUGCUUUAAGAAUAUUUUCUACAGCUUGGAGUGGCAAUAUGAUGGCCAGACAUGUUCACUGUGUAGCUAUGGAAAUUUUUGUACUAAUACUUCAGAUCCAAAGGCAGAGACAUGACAGGAGACAAAUGUUACAUCCUGUACUUACCCACAAUUAAAAAAAAAUGUUUGAAAGUUCCAUGAUUUUAAUUGAGUCAGUGGACAGUUUAAAAAAAUUC